rnacentral:tRNA from 3 species
GCUCCUGAAGGAUAACAGUCAUCCGCUGGUCUUAGGAACCAAAAACUCUUGGUGCAAAUCCAAGCAAGAGCU